rnacentral:tRNA from 1 species
GCUUUGUAGUUGAAUAAAAAUGUUUAGUUGCAGACUAAUUGGUGUAUAAUAUGUUAUCAAAGUUU